rnacentral:rRNA from 1 species
AUUGAACGCUGGCGGCAGGCCUAACACAUGCAAGUCGGGCGGCAACACAGGGAGCUUGCUCCUGGGUGACGAGCGGCGGACGGGUGAGUAAUGUCUGGGAAACUGCCUGAUGGAGGGGGAUAACUACUGGAAACGGUAGCUAAUACCGCAUAACGUCGCAAGACCAAAGAGGGGGACCUUCGGGCCUCUUGCCAUCAGAUGUGCCCAGAUGGGAUUAGCUAGUAGGUGGGGUAAUGGCUCACCUAGGCGACGAUCCCUAGCUGGUCUGAGAGGAUGACCAGCCACACUGGAACUGAGACACGGUCCAGACUCCUACGGGAGUCGGCAGUGGGGAAUAUUGCACAAUGGGCGCAAGCCUGAUGCAGCCAUGCCGCGUGUAUGAAGAAGGCCUUCGGGUUGUAAAGUACUUUCAGCGAGGAGGAAGGCAUUAAGGUUAAUAACCUUGGUGAUUGACGUUACUCGCAGAAGAAGCACCGGCUAACUCCGUGCCAGCAGCCGCCGUAAGAC